UCUAGUAACGGCGAGUGAAGCAGGAAUAGCCCAGCACCGAAUCCUCNNNNNNNNGCGUGGAGCGGGACAUGUGGUGUUAGGGGUGCCAGNAGCGCUGGCGCGGUCGUCUCGGUGCCCAGGUCCUCGUGAUCGUGGCUUUUCGCCCCAUCGAGGGUGUAAGGCCCUUCGUGGCGCCGGACUCGCGUCGCCCGCUAGCAUCUCGGGAGUCGGGUUGCUUGAGAUCGCAGCCCGAAGUGGGUGGUAAACUCCAUCUAAGGCUAAAUACUGGACACGAGUCCGAUAGUAGACAAGUACCGCGAGGGAAAGUUGAAAAGAACUUUGAAGAGAGAGUUCAAUAGUACGUGAAACCGCACAGAGUCAAACGGGUGGAGCCGCAAUGUCGCUCGUCCCGGGGCAUUCAGCCCGUUUUCUCGCCGCCAGGCCUUCUCGGCGUGGGGUGCGCUCGCGCGUGCCUUCGCCGGGACGGUUUUUCCUUUGGUGGCGAGACGGGUGCACUUGCUCCGGUCGUCGAGAGCCACGACCGGUUCCUUCGCAGGCAGUGUGGACUCCCUUGGUCGGGCUAACGGCAGGACGAACGUUGCUCUGUUUACAGGGCCUCGAUCUCCUGCUCCGACUGGGAGGGAAACUGGCCUGGGGACCGAGGACUGCAUCGGGUCGGCGUCUCCGUUACUCUCGAGCCGUGUGCCCCUUGCCGCCUCUUUUGGKUGGCAAGACGGGCGCGAGGACGCAUCGGGAGGGAGCGGGUGGCGCUUCGGCUUAAAUGGUGCUUGGUCGGUGGGCGGAUCAAGUUCGGGUACUCUCACCCCGACCCGUUCUUGAAACACCGGAACCAAGGAGUCUAGCAUGUGCGCGAGUCGAUGGGAUUCGACGAAACCCCACGGCACAAUGAAAGUGAAGGCAUUCCCUCGUUGGAGGCCUAGGCAGGAUGCUGGAUGAAAUAGGCCAGCCGCACUGCCGGCCCGUCCCGAUCGCCUUUGACGAUGGGGCGGAGCAAGAGCGCACACGCUGGGACCCGAAAGAUGGUGAACUAUGCUUGAGCAGGACGAAGUCAGGGGAAACUCUGAUGGAGGUCCGCAGCGAUUCUGACGUGCAAAUCGAUCGUCAAACUUGAGUAUAGGGGCGAAAGACUAAUCGAACCAUCUAGUAGCUGGUUCCUUCCGAAGUUUCCCUCAGGAUAGCUGGCACUAAUCACGCUGCAGUUUUAUCCGGUACAGCGAAUGAUUAGAGGGAUUGGGGGAGUUUCUUCCCUCAACCUAUUCUCAAACUUUAAAUGGGUAAGAAGCACGGCUCGCCUGAUACUUUUGUACGGAGCCGCUGCCUCAGAAUGUAUCUGUGCCUAGUGGGCCAAUUUUGGUAAGCAGAACUGGCGCUGUGGGAUGAACCAAACGUCCGGUUAAGGCGCCCGAGUCGGACGCUCAUCAGAACCCAUAAAAGGUGUUGGUUGGUUUAAACAGCAGGACGGUGGCCAUGGAAGUCGGCAUUCGCUAAGGAGUGUGUAACAACUCACCUGCCGAAUCAACCGGCCCUGAAAAUGGAUGGCGCUGGAGCGUUGGGCCUAUACCGGACCGUCGGGGCACUUUCGACUCUCUUCACGGGAGCGAGGAGCGAUGCCCCGACGAGUAGGAAGGCGCUGCGGUGAGCACAGAAGCCUGGCGCGUGAGCGUGGGUCGAGCCGCCGCGGGUGCAGAUCUUGGUGGUAGUAGCAAAUAUUCAAAUGAGAACUUUGAAGACUGAAGUGGAGAUGGGUUCCAUGUGAACAGCAGUUGAACACGGGUCAGUCGGCCCUAAGGGAUCGGAGAACUCCGUUCUCGAGAGGCAAGUUAUUUUAUUUUUUCUAAAAACGAACCUUGCCGGAAACGAAAGGGACUCGGGUUAAUAUUCCCGAACCUGGUCACGGAGACGCGGCCGCGCCAGUCCCCUAACAAGGACGGGCCGGUCCAGUGCGGCAACGCAAACGAACUCGGAGACGUCGGCGAGAGCCCUGGGAAGAGUUCUCUUUUCUUUGUAAGGGCCGGACUCCCUGGAAUCGCCUUGAGCGGAGAGAGGGAUGUCCAAGCCCGUAAAGCACCGCGGCUCUUGCGGUGUCCGGAGCGCUCUCGUCGGCCCUUGAAAAUCCGAGGGAGACAGUGUUAAUCUCGUGCCAGGCCGUACCCAUAUCCGCAGCAGGUCU
rnacentral:rRNA from 1 species